ACGAAGGAAGCGAAAAACGCACCAAGUUUCGGCCUUGGCCUUGAACCUCUGUUCCUUUCGUU
rnacentral:tRNA from 1 species